AUUGAACGCUGGCGGCAGGCCUAACACAUGCAAGUCGAACGGUAACAGGAAGACGCUUGCUUCUUUGCUGACGAGUGGCGGACGGGUGAGUAAUGUCUGGGAAACUGCCUGAUGGAGGGGGAUAACUACUGGAAACGGUAGCUAAUACCGCAUAACGUCGCAAGACCAAAGAGGGGGACCUUCGGGCCUCUUGCCAUCGGAUGUGCCCAGAUGGGAUUAGCUAGUAGGUGGGGUAACGGCUCACCUCUGCGACGAUCCCUAGCUGGUAUGAGAGGGUCACCAGCCACACUGGAACUGAGACACGGUCCAGACUCCGACGGGAGGCAGCAGUGGGGAAUAUUGCACAAUGGGCGCAAGCCUGAUGCAGCCAUGCCGCGUGUAUGAAGAAGGCCUUCGGGUUGUAAAGUACUUUCAGCGGGGAGGAAGGGAGUAAAGUUAAUACCUUAGCUCAUUGACGUUACCCGCAGAAGAAGCACCGGCUAACUCCGUG
rnacentral:rRNA from 1 species